AUGGUGAGCUUACUCGUGGUACAUCAUUCCAAGUUUCCAUCUGCUUGGUCAACAAUAACUCAACUGGAGAAGUUUCAAUGCACAUUUAUCAACCAAACUAAAUUUGUAACACCUACUUCUUUUCAGGAGGCUUCAAAACCAGUCAGAGACUGGCCGGGUGCGGUGGCUCAUGUCUGUAAUCCCAGCACUUUGGGAGGCCAAGGACUAGAGAGGAGCCCAAGAACACAUAACUACCAUGGAGCAGAGCUAGUAUUUGAAUUCAUACCCAAACUCCAACUAUUGCAAACUCCAACUACUGCUAAAGACUUAUCAACUACUAUCAAGAUGGAAGAAACAUUUUUAAAUGGAUCAGUAUUAUUUCUUGUUAGCUUUUAAUUGACUAGAUAGUUGCAUUGACUAGAGAUUUUAGUUUAAAAAUCAGAUUUGCGGAGACUGGAUUCUUGUUAGAAAAUAUCAUUUGUGAAAAUUGGACUAAAUUGUGAAAUUCAAAUACACUAUUUUUCGGAGGAUGCACUAAAGGUAACUUUUACUCAUGCAAACUAACAAUUACUCUUAGUGGUUCAGAAGCACUGGUGUCAAGAAUGACGAGAAAUCUGGUUUUAUCAUCUAAUCUUUUAAAGAUCUCAGUUGGGUGGUGGAAGGAGAGGACAGAUAAUCUGGUUUGUUAGCCUUUUCUGUUUGGUUGAUUGUCUGUUUGUGAACUCAAAUUAUUUGAGAAAAUGUUUUAAUUCCUCUGGGAGGGAGAAGAACUUAAAAUACCUGGACAAUACUUUUUCUUUCUAUGUUCUGUUUUUUCUUUUGACCCAUGGCUGAGGUUGUAGAAUGAGAGCUGUAAGCUCUUUGUGUGUCUGUGUGACUGUAUUUGAGAAAUGUCUUUACCUCUUUUGAUAGAUUCUAUUUUCAAAAAAUGGCCACUACCAUAUCUGCCUUCCAACACUUUAUUACAACAUGACUUUGACAUUCUUAACAUUGAGAGCAAGAUAUAUUCUAUACUUUUAAAUUGGAGCAGAUUUUGCACUCAGGUAUAAGUGGCACUGUGGAAUUUCUGAAGCUAGGUCAUAAAAGACAAUACAAUUGUUCUUAUGCUUGGGACCAACUACUAUGCUGUGGGGAAGCCCCAGCCACCCAUGUAGACAGACCUGCAUGGAGACAAACCAAGGGCCCAGCUCUCUGCCCUCAUCAAUGUCACAGCCAACAGCCACAACUAACACUGACUUUUCAGCCACGUGAGCAAGAUCUCUUAGAAGUGGAUCCUCCAUACCCCAGUUAAGCCAUCCCAAAUGACAAUGCAUGGAGCCUUCCCUGCCAAACCCUAUGCAAACUGUAGAUUUGUAAUACAAAUAAAUGAUAGUAGAUGUCUCCAGCUAGUAAAACUGGAGCCCAUUUUGUCAUGUGAAUGUGAACUAUUUUUUAUUGCUAGAGGAUAGUAAUAUAUUAAGCCAUAGAGUUUUUCAGUAUAGGAACUCUGUUCUGAUUGGUUGAUAGAGAUUCAUGAAUACAUAUAUAUGAUAUACCUCGUCUCUGUGUUUUAUAUUCUGACA
rnacentral:lncRNA from 1 species